rnacentral:rRNA from 1 species
UGGGGAAUAUUGCACAAUGGGCGAAAGCCUGAUGCAGCGACGCCGCGUGAGGGAUGACGGCCUUCGGGUUGUAAACCUCUUUCAGCAGGGACGAAGCGCAAGUGACGGUACCUGCAGAAGAAGCACCGGCUAACUACGUGCCAGCAGCCGCGGUAAUACGUAGGGUGCAAGCGUUGUCCGGAAUUACUGGGCGUAAAGAGUUCGUAGGCGGUUUGUCGCGUCGUUUGUGAAAACCAGCAGCUCAACUGCUGGCUUGCAGGCGAUACGGGCAGACUUGAGUACUGCAGUGGAGACUGGAAUUCCUGGUGUAGCGGUGAAAUGCGCAGAUAUCAGGAGGAACACCGGUGGCGAAGGCGGGUCUCUGGGCUGUAACUGACGCUGAGGAACGAAAGCGUGGGUAGCGAACAGG